rnacentral:rRNA from 1 species
GAUGAACGCUGGCGGCGUGCCUAAUACAUGCAAGUCGAGCGAACAGACGAGGAGCUUGCUCCUCUGACGUUAGCGGCGGACGGGUGAGUAACACGUGGAUAACCUACUUAUCAGACUGGGAUAACUUCGGGAAACCGGAGCUAAUACCGGAUAAUAUAUUGAACCGCAUGGUUCAAUGGUGAAAGACGGUUUUGCUGUCACUUCUAGAUGGAUCCGCGCCGCAUUAGCUAGUUGGUAGGGUAACGGCUUACCACGGCAACGAUGCGUAGCCGACCGGAGAGGGUGAUAGGCCACACGGGAGCUGGGCCACGGUCCUGACUCCUACGGGAGGCAGCAGUAGGGAAUCGUCCGCAAUGGGCGAGAGCCUUACGGAGCAACGCCGCGUGAGUGAUGAAGGUCUUCGGAUCGUAAAACUCUGUUAUUAGGGAAGAACAAAUUUGUAAGUAACUAUGCACGUCUUGACGGUACCUAAUCAGAAAGCCACGGCUAACUACGUG